rnacentral:rRNA from 1 species
GAUGAACGCUGGCGGCGUGCCUAAUACAUGCAAGUCGAGCGAACGGACGAGAAGCUUGCUUCUCUGAUGUUAGCGGCGGACGGGUGAGUAACACGUGGAUAACCUACCUAUAAGACUGGGAUAACUUCGGGAAACCGGAGCUAAUACCGGAUAAUAUUUUGAACCGCAUGGUUCAAAAGUGAAAGACGGUCUUGCUGUCACUUAUAGAUGGAUCCGCGCUGCAUUAGCUAGUUGGUAAGGUAACGGCUUACCAAGGCAACGAUGCAUAGCCGACCUGAGAGGGUGAUCGGCCAAACUGGAACUGAGACACGGUCCAGACUCCUACGGGAGGCAGCAGUAGGGAAUCUUCCGCAAUGGGCGAAAGCCUGACGGAGCAACGCCGCGUGAGUGAUGAAGGUCUUCGGAUCGUAAAACUCUGUUAUUAGGGAAGAACAUAUGUGUAAGUAACUGUGCACAUCUUGACGGUACAUAAUCAGAAAGCCACGGCUAACUACGUG